rnacentral:sRNA from 1 species
GCUGGGUGUGGUGGCACAUGCCUGUAAUCCCAGCAGCUCAGGAGACUGAGACAGGAGGAUCAAAGCUAGCCUCAGCAAAAGCAAGGCGCCAAGCAACUCAGUCAGAUCCUGUCUCUA